AUUGAACGCUGGCGGCAUGCUUUACACAUGCCAGUCGAACGGCAGCACGAGCAUCUUCCUCGCCUCGAGUUACCGACGGGUGAGUAAUUCAUCGGAAGGUACCCUGCAUUUGGGGAUAGGCCGACUAAAGCCGAAUUAAUACCGCAUCCGACCAUAUGGUGAAAGCCGUGGAUCGAAAGUCCUCGCGCUAUUUGAUCUGCCUAUGUCGGAUUAGCUAGUUGGUUUGGUAAAGGCUUACCAAGGCGACGAUCCGUAGCUGGUCUGAGAGGACGACCAGCCACACUGGGACUGAGACACGGUCCAGACUCCUACGGGAGGCAGCAGUGGGGAAUCUUGGACAAUGGGGGCAAGCCUGAUGCAGCAAUGCCGCGUGCGGGAAGAAGGUCUUCGGGUUGUAAAACGCUUUUGUUAGGGAAGAACUCAUGUGUGAUAAUCUACCGGGGGGAUGACGGUACCGGAAGAAUAAGCAACGGCUAACUACGUG
rnacentral:rRNA from 1 species